CCUGAACGCUGGCGGCGUGGCUAAGACAUGCAAGUCGUACGGGUGCAGCAAUGCACCAGUGGCGGACGGGUGAGUAAUGAAUCGCUAAUGUACCCUGGACUCCGGGAUAGCCGGCCGAAAGGCCGGGUAAUACCAGAUGAUGUGGCGACAGGGCAUCCUGUUGACCCCAAAGGGAACCGGUCUGGGCGCAGGCGAUUUCGUAUCAGCUAGUUGGUGAGGUAACGGCUCACCAAGGCGACGACGCGUAGCCGGACUGAGAGGUUGGCCGGCCACAUCGGGACUGAGACACUGCCCGGACUCCUACGGGGGCUGCAGUACGAAUCUUCCCAAUGCACGAAAGUGUGAGGGAGCGACGCCGCGUGUGGGACGAAGUCC
rnacentral:rRNA from 1 species